GACAGAGGGGGCAAGCGUUGCUCGGAAUUACUGGGCGUAAAGGGCACGUAGGCGGGAUGGCAAGUCGGUCGUGAAAUCCCUCGGCUCAACCGAGGAACGUCGAUCGAUACUGCUGUUCUUGAGGAUUGCAGAGGAGACUGGAAUUCCCGGUGUAGCGGUGAAAUGUGUAGAGAUCGGGAGGAACACCGGUGGCGAAGGCGGGUCUCUGGGCAAUUCCUGACGCUGAGGCGCGAAAGCGUGGGGAGCAAACGGG
rnacentral:rRNA from 1 species